rnacentral:miRNA from 1 species
UUAUAAUACAACCUGAUAAGUC